UACGGGGGGGGGUAAGCGUUGUUCGGAAUUACUGGGCGUAAAGGGCGCGUAGGCGGCCUGCUAAGUCGAACGUGAAAUCCCCGGGCUCAACCCGGGAACUGCGUCCGAUACUGGCAGGCUUGAAUCCGGGAGAGGGAUGCGGAAUUCCAGGUGUAGCGGUGAAAUGCGUAGAUAUCUGGAGGAAUACCGGUGGCGAAGGCGGCAUCCUGGACCGACAUUGACGCUGAACGGCGAAAGCUAGGGGAGCAAACGGG
rnacentral:rRNA from 1 species